GUUGUCUUAUGUGUCUAGCCUUAUGGAUACUUGGUUUCAAGGAAUGAGAAACAACUCAAGUCAAAUUGAACAAAAAUAGAAGGCACCAAGUACAGUUGCAACAAGCUGCCUUGCUGAAGUAAAAUUACUGGGAGUCCUGGACCCUUCUUCUGACGGACAGCUUCCCACAGUGGCAGAGAAGCAGC
rnacentral:lncRNA from 1 species